GUAUGAAAUGCUAAUCGGAGUAACAAAUGUGACUGAUGAUACAAAUGAUUGUUAGUCAGUAUCGAAUCGCUGGAGUUCGUAUAUACUUUACGAAAGUGAAGAAAGGAUACCUAAACUUCUGACACGAUCAUGUUUUGACAUACCACUUGUUGUUGGAAUUUCGAAAAAGUCUCUCAACUUUUACCAAAAAAUUCACUUCGGGAGACGAUAAGCUAUCGUUUCUGAAAACCUCAUCAAAUUGAUACCAGAAUAUAUAUAUUACGACCACUUUCUGUCCUGAUUGAUCUAAUGCGUGUGGCAAUGCUUGAUUCGAUGGACCAUUUUAAACCGAUACGAUCACUAAAUAUAUUCAUUCGUAAUGUUUUCCUGGUGUUGUUCGUUCGACUUAGCUGCAUCCUCGGCAUUAUAUCUUUAGUGAUAUUUGUGCAUAAGACGUGGUGGUUCAAAGCGAAUUCCGACCAGUUUUAUGUAAUUUGGAUCGUUUCGACUGUGAUCCAUGCUACAAUUUGUUUUUGGAUGCACCCUGGUCACUAUUCAAUAGUGUCGUUGAUGGUGGUCACAAUAUUCCAUGGCAUAUCUUGGGGCUGUACUAUCGCCAUUCCCGUUUUAAUACAAAGACAAUUGUUGAUGUGGGAAAUUGGUGAAAUAGCAUCUUACGUGUGUUUGGCUACUGCUUUGUUCUACGAACUAUUAUGGACCGAUCCGUAUGCGUUUCGUGGUGCAGUCAUUUUUGCUUUUUUAAUCAAUUUGUGUUGGCUGUGGGUUCGCUGUUUGAGAUUUAGUGCAAGCAAUAUCGAUUUUGUUCUAACUGCCGCAAUUCCUACAUUAUGUGCAUACCUUAUCUGCAGAGUUCAUAGCAUAGUAUAUGGGUCGUCGAUAGAGUCCGUCCUAACUUUAAACGAAUGCGUUUUCACAGCAUUAACGGUUUAUAUUGAUGUUGUUCGUGUUUAUUUGGUGUACUUAGGCAUCUUUGCUUGGACGUUUAUUAUUCUUCCCGCAGCAAUAGCGGGAGAAUUUUUCAAAGUUUACUGAAAUUUUUCGUUUAAAUGUUAUUUUAUUUCAUAAAUUCUAUUGACUACA